rnacentral:lncRNA from 1 species
UGGACGGCGGCUCGAUGAGCAUAGGCGGGACGUUGAGACGGGCAGAGUUGCGACGGCCCUGGCAGGGGAGGCCUGCCGGAGCGGCCUGCAUGUCGGGUGGGACCGUGCAGGGGUGAUGGGGACGAUCGGGCUCCCACCCCGGGCAGUGGCCCAUGAAACGAUAGAGAUUGUGAGAGCGAGGGAGGCCCAGAGUCUGUUGAGUGACAGGCCUUCGGUCGAGCUGCCAGCGGCCUGGAGGUGCAUGCUUGGAGACUUUGGAUGGCUGUUUAUAAUAAUAAUAUUUUUUUGUCGCCAUUCUGCCGCUUGGUCGUGUUUGCGUUGAUGUUGAGUGCUUG